ACCUUCAGUAGUGUAGUGGUAACGCCUUGACUUGUAAUCAUAAGUCCUAGGUUCGACUCCCGGUCGGGGUA